rnacentral:rRNA from 1 species
AAUGGGCGAAAGCCUGAUCUAGCCAUGCCGCGUGAGUGAUGAAGGCCCUAGGGUCGUAAAGCUCUUUCAACUGUGAAGAUAAUGACGGUAGCAGUAGAAGAAACCCCGGCUAACUCCGUGCCAGCAGCCGCGGUAAUACGGAGGGGGUUAGCGUUGUUCGGAGUUACUGGGCGUAAAGCGUACGUAGGCGGAUUAAUAAGUUAGAGGUGAAAUCCCAGGGCUCAACCCUGGAACUGCCUUUAAAACUGUUAGUCUUGAGAUCGAGAGAGGUGAGUGGAAUUCCAAGUGUAGAGGUGAAAUUCGUAGAUAUUUGGAGGAACACCAGUGGCGAAGGCGGCUCACUGGCUCGAUACUGACGCUGAGGUACGAAAGUGUGGGGAGCAAACAGGAUU